rnacentral:rRNA from 1 species
CCAAUAGCGUAUAUUAAAGUUGCUGCAGUUAAAAAGCUCGUAGUUGAAUUUCGGGAUCAAUUUACUGGUCGUGCCUAUGGUACGUACUGGUAUUGUUGGUUUCUCCUUUCUGAGGAGCCGCGAUGUCAUUAACUUGGUGUCGCGGGGAAUCAGGACUGUUACUUUGAAAAAAUUAGAGUGUUUAAAGCAGGCUAACGCUUGAAUACAUUAGCAUGGAAUAAUGAAAUAGGACGUUUGAUCCUAUUUUGUUGGUUUCUAGGAUCUACGUAAUGAUUAAUAGGGAUAGUUGGGGGCAUUAAUAUUCAAUUGUCAGAGGUGAAAUUCUUGGAUUUAUUGAAGACUAACUACUGCGAAAGCAUUUGCCAAGGAUGUUUUCAUUAAUCAAGAACGAAAGUUAGGGGAUCGAAGACGAUCAGAUACCGUCGUAGUCUUAACCAUAAACUAUGCCGACUAGGGAUCGGAUGAUAAAUUUUUAAUAAAUCAUUCGGCGCCUUACG